rnacentral:piRNA from 1 species
UCCACAGCUCAUGCACACGUUUUUCAGUUU